UCUACCAUUUACACAUCCCUUCGGGGUUGUAUUUGUGAGCAGUGUGUGUGCGUUUGAAAGUAAGCAUGUUUUUGUGUACAGUAUGUGUGUGCAUGUAGGGCUGUAUUUGUAUGUACUGUUGCAGUGAUGAACUUGUGUGUAGUGUUUGCAUUUCAAUGCAGAGGUGUGUUUGUAUGUCGUUGUAUGCAAGUGUGUUUUUGUGUGUAGUAUUAGUGUUGGAGUGAAGGAGUGUGGUUGUAUAUAAUUUUGGAGUUUGAAUGCUGGGGUGUGUUUGUAUGUAAUAUUUGUGUUAAAUUGCAGCAGUGUGUUUGCGUGUUCUUACAUUGCUUGGAUGUACACUGAACAAAAUUAGAAACGCAACACUUUUGUUUUUGCCCCCAUUUUUCAUGAGCUCAACUCAAAGAUCUAAU